AUAUUGGACAAUGGGCGAAAGCCUGAUCCAGCCAUGCCGCGUGUGUGAAGAAGGUCUUCGGAUUGUAAAGCACUUUAAGUUGGGAGGAAGGGCAGUAAGUUAAUACCUUGCUGUCUUGACGUUACCGACAGAAUAAGCACCGGCUAACUUCGUGCCAGCAGCCGCGGUAAUACGAAGGGUGCAAGCGUUAAGCGGAAUUACUGGGCGUAAAGCGCGCGUAGGUGGUUCGUUAAGUUGGAUGUGAAAGCCCCGGGCUCAACCUGGGAACUGCAUCCAAAACUGGCGAGCUAGAGUAUGGCAGAGGGUGGUGGAAUUUCCUGUGUAGCGGUGAAAUGCGUAGAUAUAGGAAGGAACACCAGUGGCGAAGGCGACCACCUGGGCUAAUACUGACACUGAGGUGCGAAAGCGUGGGGAGCAAACAGG
rnacentral:rRNA from 1 species